UUUAUGAGUGCCUGCGUCUGCCUCAGUGUUCUCAUAACUUACAAAGAGUUUUUUUUUUUUUUUUCACACGUCUCCCCUCCUAUACCGGCUGGCAUGGCGUGCGCCACACUCACAAACCAGACCUGUACUAAACAAGCACACCCACAAAAGGGGUUGCAGGCUGGGUACUGUGACUGACUGGGAAAACUUGUCUGGCAGAUGGGUGGGAAAAUAAGGAGGUAUGGGGAGUAUGGGCGAAAUGUUUCGAGGGGUACAAAUCACACUAGAAAUGCUCAACAGAAAAUGUUAAUUCCCUAAAAAAAAAGCUCAGCGAAACCAAACAAAUGAAGAUGCAAAACAAAGGCGGAAGAUUUCAACUGGGCACAACAGCUGCAGUUUCUGACUUUUUUUAUUUAUCUUGUAGGAAAGCGAAUGUUAUGUCCUUUCUUUGAUGCCCGCUUUUAUGUGGAUUUUUUUCUACUUACGACUGGAGCUGGCAGCUUUUUCCUGUUGUGGAGGAUUUCUACAUGAGUCAGUUCAAUGAUUGCAGCUGGCUGGGCGAGAGAAGGAAGCGCAGAAGGAGAGAGAGGCUAUGUCUCAAGGCAUGUGUGUGGGUUCCAGUCAGUCUCUCCCAGUGCCCUGUGAUGCCACCACUCAACCCAGCCAAGACCAGAUCAGAGCAUCCAGGCUGUAUCCAGGGAGACGAGAAGCAGACAGUGUUGUAUAAACUGCUGAGAUAGCAAAAGACAAAGAAAUUUCUGCGGCAAUCUUGAAGAAAAGAAGCCAGUGAGGACAGCGCUGGAAAAAGAACCGUCCAUUGCAAUGAGGACAUAUUGAAAAAAGAAAAUCUGAUUCUUCCUCAGGUCGUCAAGCAAGAAAAAUUGCUGAAAUGUAAUAUUUUUGUGACUUUCACCACACAUCUAUGUUCAUUGUGAUCUGGAUGAUGUAAGUGUCAGCAUUUCUUAAUACUUUGACACUGCCAUGCUUAUGGUUAUAGAUUUAUGGCAGUGCCAAGAACACUUAAUUGAACUCAAAAACAGUUGUACUUGUCUAUUUCAAUAUCAUUUUAAAUUGACUCUGUUGCAGCAAAUGCCCGUUUGUGUGUUAAGGACAGAGGGACAAAGGAAACGUCAUUAUGUAAUUCAGCAACUACCCUCAUUGCAUUGAUGCGCGGACCCACACAUGUACACGGACGGGCUGUUUGUCUUUGUGUAAAACUUUUUCUAUACACUCUCAAACUGUUUUUCAUCUCCGUAAUCUCAGCUCAUAACUUUUCUAAUUUGACCUAAAUAUUCUGUCUGCAUUUUUUAAAUGUAGUCGUUUACAAUUCGUCCCACAUAACAGCAUUUACACUAAAUCAGUUUUACGUAUGUUAUUCGUGUGGUAAUUUAAUUUUGUUUCAGCAUUUCACAAGUAUUAUGUGCCUUACACUAUACUUUUUUGAUCGCUUAUGAAUGUGUAAAAAGUAUACUUCAGAACUAUAAGUUUGUCAUAAUGACUUGAGAUCAGGGUCCUGUCAUGUUAAUAUGCAUACUCAUGAAAUUUUCAGACUUUUUUUUUUGGUAAAAAUAACAGCUAAACAACUGAAUCUGUUUGUAUUUUGCUCCUUACAACCGGAAUAAAACAACAUUUAGUUAUUAUUAUUAUUAUUGGUAUGGAUUCUUUUAUACUUAAAAUUUAAUAUGAACACUCUAAAAUAUUUGAGAUUCAUAGUACUAGUACUAAAUGGAAAUUGACCUAAGGUUGGCACUCAAGGUGCAAGAAUACAGACACUUGUUGAAUUACUUACUGCCUACCACUUUCAAAAGGUAACAGUAUGUUAUGUUUUUAACCUGUAUGUUAUGCUAGAAUGUACUUCUCUCAUCCAAAAACAGACCUGGAGUGUUGCUUUAAUUUUUUCAUGCAUGUUUGAGAAAUCUUUGAAUCUCCCGUGGCAACCAUUCAGGGGUGCCUAAACGCUUGCUCCUUCAAGGCACCAUCUAUUUCCACAAAGGUCUGCAGCCAAGCUUCUGGUUCACAUAGUACCCCAUGACCUGCCCCACAAACCUCUGCCAGACUAGCAACAGCAGCAAUUAGUGAUGACUGGUGAAACUGGACAUCUGCUGAGCUUAUCAUACGAACCACUUCUCAGUCCAACACUCCUAAGAAUGGUUGUAAACAACAUAAUGGAUGAACACUGUUGUGAUAACAUUCUAAAGGCGGAGUUUCGGGAAGAGUAGGAGCUUCUUCAAGAAGCAAAUUUCUAUCAAGUUGUAUACAACAUUUUUAUAAUUGAAUGUAUCAUAGCAACUGGAUUGUACUAUAAAAUGGCAAAAAUCUUUAUGUCUUGGCUAAUACACAGCCAGGUUCCACAAUGGUUCUUGUUUUAUUGUGUUCUGUUUUAAGUUAUUUUAGCAUUUAUGUUAUGUUUUGAUAUUUUAUCUCAUGAUGUUUUAUUGUCUUUUAAGCUGAUUUAUGUUGUUAAAGCCCCAUCUUGGGACAUGCAAUACAAAUUAGCCAAGGGUAUAAAUGUAAUAGCGUCCAGUAUUUGUUUUCAUGUAACACUUAUCCCCAUGCAAAUUUCAAUAAAAGAAAUCAUCUUGUCA